rnacentral:misc_RNA from 1 species
AAGUCGUAACAAGGUCUCCGUAGGUGAACCUGCGGAGGGAUCAUUACUGAGUGAGGGGCUCCGGCCCCGGACCUCCAACCCACUGUGAACCGACACUGUUGCCUCGGGGGCGACCCGGCCCUUCGGGCGUUCGGGGCCCCCGGCGGACCCAUCAACUCUGCAUCUCUGCGUCUGAGUAGAUUAUUGAAUCAAUCAAAACUUUCAACAACGGAUCUCUUGGUUCUG